CCAUGCAGCCGGGGAGAUAGCGGUGCCCUGUACCUACAAUCCGCUCUAGUAGGGGUGAUAUUUUGUCUGAGGGACAGCCUUUGCAAAGCCGCCCUAAGUGGAGGAUGUUGAAGUCUUGGUCUUACGCAAUGAGAGCUUGUGAACCGUGUCAGGUUGGGAACAAAGCAGCACUAAGCAAAAUCUUUCAUGUGCCGUAAGGGUGCCUGGGCCGAGUUUUUCAUUUAGGUACCGUUUGUGAAGCUGCAUCGAAGCAAAAUGCAUGG
rfam:Catonella morbi ATCC 51271 genomic scaffold Scfld2, whole genome shotgun sequence.